UUAAGCCAUGCGAGUCGAACGAGUUUAGGCUCGUGGCGUACGGCUCAGUAACACGUGGAUAACCUACCCUUAGGACCGGGAUAACCUUGGGAAACUGAGGAUAAUACUGGAUAGGCAAUUUUUCCUGUAAUGGUUUUUUGUUUAAAUGUUUUUUCGCCUAAGGAUGGGUCUGCGGCCGAUUAGGUAGUUGGUUAGGUAAUGGCUUACCAAGCCGUUGAUCGGUACGGGUUGUGAGAGCAAGAGCCCGGAGAUGGAACCUGAGACAAGGUUCCAGGCCCUACGGGGUGCAGCAGGCGCGAAACCUCCGCAAUGUGAGAAAUCGCGACGGGGGGAUCCCAAGUGCCAUUCUCAACGGGAUGGCUUUUCAUUAGUGUAAAGAGCUUUUGGAAUAAGAGCUGGGCAAGACCGGUGCCAGCCGCCGCGGUAA
rnacentral:rRNA from 1 species